rnacentral:rRNA from 1 species
GACGAACGCUGGCGGCGUGCUUAAAACAUGCAAGUCGAACGGACUUCUCAUGAAGCUUGCGAUUGAGAAGUUAGUGGCGGACGGGUGAGUAACGCGUGGGCAACCUGCCCCUGAGCCCGGGAUAACAGUUCGAAAGGACUGCUAAGACCGGAUAUACUUGCGGGGAAGCAUUUCACUGCAAGGAAAGGGAACGCUCAGGGAUGGGCCCGCGUCCCAUUAGCUAGUUGGUGAGGUAACGGCCCACCAAGGCGACGAUGGGUAGCCGGCCUGAGAGGGUGAACGGUCACACUGGGACUGAGACACGGCCCAGACUCCUACGGGAGGCAGCAGUUGGGAAUCUUCGGCAAUGGGCGCAAGCCUGACCGAGCAACGCCGCGUGAGUGAUGAAGGUUUUCGGAUUGUAAAGCUCUGUCUUCCGGGACGAUAAUGACGGUACCGGAGGAGGAAGCCACGGCUAACUACGUG